rnacentral:rRNA from 1 species
GAUGAACGCUGGCGGCGUGCCUAAUACAUGCAAGUCGAACGCUGGAGAUCUAGCUUGCUAGAUCGAAGGAGUGGCGAACGGGUGAGUAAUACAUAAGCAACCUACCCACGAAGACUGGGAUAAUCUCUGGAAACGGGGACUAAUACCGGAUAGGUAAUCGGAAGGCAUCUUCUGGUUAUUAAAGGUUAAAAACACUGGUGGAUGGGCUUAUGGCGCAUUAGUUAGUUGGUGAGGUAACGGCCCACCAAGACGAUGAUGCGCAGCCGGCCUGAGAGGGUGAACGGCCACAUUGGGACUGAGACACGGCCCAGACUCCUACGGGAGGCAGCAGUAGGGAAUUUUCGGCAAUGGGGGCAACCCUGACCGAGCAACGCCGCGUGAGUGAAGACGGCCUUCGGGUUGUAAAGCUCUGUUGUAAGGGAAGAACGGUAGAUAGAGAAUAUCUAAGUGACGGUACCUUACCAGAAAGCCACGGCUAACUACGUG